rnacentral:lncRNA from 1 species
AUGAGAGGUGAUAGAGACUCAAAGACAACAUAUCUCACCUUAAGGACACAAGUAGAUAAAAGACAAGUCAGUAGUAAAAUAAAAGAGCAGUAAAAGUAUCUAUAGAGGAUACUAACAAUAGUUAUGACCCACUUGAUGAGAAUGCCCUAAAAAUUAUGAUCCUAACAACUUUUGAAGCCAUAGGCCAAAGGAGUAGGGAAAUUGUGGUUAAGGAGCACGAUCCUUCAAAACUCCAUAGAUGAAAAAAGUACCUUGAAAUAUAAAGGGAUUGAUUAAGUUGUAUAAGUUAAAAAAAAAGUUCAUCAAAAUUAUUAGUAGGGGGGGAAAUCCAUUUUAGCUAUUGUAUAACAUAAAAAAGUAAAGAAUAAGGUUGCAAGAAUUAUAUGAAAAAUGUUGCCACCACAACUAUGAUCAUGCUAGUAAGGGAGAUAUUGGUAGUUUACAAUGCUCAUGAGAUAGAUGUAGUUGUGUUGGGGACUAAUUUCCAGUUUACACAUUGCUCAAUCAAUGUACUUGAGCAAAAUACUAGUUUUGACUUUACUGCCAUUUGUGGACAACAUAAUAUAGAGCAUAAGAGGACUCCUAGGAUGGUCUAAAAAUGUUUGACAAAG